UAAUCAACAAUUAUUUUCUAUAAAAUGAAAUUAUUUGAAGAAAAACAUCUUGACGGACCUUAACAUCCAUCCGGUUUCUCAACAUCAAUAAAUAGAAAGAUGUUAAUAAUCACAGUUAAUGAAAUUAUUAGCAAAAAUAUAUACAUAUACAAGUGUGUAGUAAGGAAAAAUAGAAACAUCAAAUAUAAAAGAAGAGCAUCUUUCAUUUUAGUACAUGCAACAAAUAAUUGCAACAUAGAUCUUACCUUUUCCCAUCGAUGAUGUAACUUAUGCGAACGUUCGUGACUAUUUGAAAAUUCUUGUAACUGACGAUGCUUGGACUGCAAUGUUGUGCGUAGAGAGGCGACUUCCCUACACAAACUUUCUACCUGGAUACGAUACACAAUACAUCUAUGCGUUAACAAAAAAUAAUUCAAGAGAAAUCAUAUUUAAGAUGCCACCGGAUAUAUCAUAAUAAUAAUAAUAGUAUAAUAGUAGUAAUAUAUAAAUCUAAUUAAUAUUAAUUAA